CCUCCAAAGACGGCCGCGUAGCUGCUGGCGCGUGGGUUGCGGGUCGGAGUGAGGAUCCCAGGCAGCGGGAGUCCGGAAUCGCCCCCGGGAAAGAGCUAACCCGCUGGUAAUCCAUGAGGUUGACCUGCAGAUGGCAAUGAGUCCUGAGCCAAAUAUUCAAGAGCCUAUUGUGUACAAGGCACUGGUGACAGAGUGACAGAAGCCACAUCAGGAACACAGACAGCUUUAUCCUCAAACACUAUGUCUGACGGUCAGAAUGCACAUGAACAUAUUGAAGGCUCUGAGAAGUCCUGCAAUACCUCUAUCUCACUUUCUCGAAGUCGGUAUUUCCUGAAUUGAUUGGGUCAUAGAGACUUUGGGUUCUGGUUUUUGAGGCUCUUCAGCCCUCGGUGACAGUGUUCAUCAGGCAAAAGGUAGAGUAGCAUUUCCCCGCCCCUAUCCAUGUGACUUGCUUUGGUCCACAGGUUGAAGGCCAAAGGGAUAGUUCUCACUUCUGGAUGACAACGUUUGAGCACCAUAUUCCUUUCCCACUGUCGCUGCAAUCAGUGACCCUCCAGAUGGGGGGACAGUUUCAGGCUAGGCCAGCCAAGUCUGAUGGGUAUGCAGUAUAAGAAAUCAACCUUCUGGGGGAAUCUUUGUUAAAGGCCACCUAACCCAGACUAACCUAACUGAUCAAAUCCCUUAGUGAUACCCGCAAGGACACCAGCUUUUGAGUAACUUGGUUCACGAAGUAUAGACCUGGCCCCGUGAGUAGUCGAAAUGCAGUUUAGUGACUACACUGGCUCCCUUAAUAAAAUGAAACCUCAAAUCUCAGAGGUCAUGAGGAAGGGACACUGGGUCUUCCCACAGAUGCCCAUAGAGGUCACUCACCUCUUAGCUUGGAACACGACUGUUAGGAUCCGGGCAGGCAGCCAGAGGGGAGCAGGCUCUGACCUGGAUCCAGGCUACCCCCGAGGUCAGGGGAGGUGAGCCUUGGUGCUUCGCGGGAGCGUGUGGCCCCACACAGCACCCGCUGGGCAUGGGCUCCAGUGAGUAGGCUCAGGACAAGAGGCUGGGUUCCAUAGUCCAGCAAGAUUGGGACCAACUGGAGGGGGCGGGGGAGAAGGGGUUCAAGGAGUCUCUGGUGCCCAGCUCAGGUGACUUGGAAUCUGACAGGCACAGGGCAGUUGUGCACUGGAGGGUUAUACUGGUGAGUAGCCGAGGAAUGGCCAGUGGAGGUGGCCAGGUGGCCUCAGAGACAGGGGGGGGGGGGUUCCUCAAGGUGAGGCCCCCAGAUGCAGCUGUGAACUCUCAGUACAGCAGGCAAGGCUGAACCUUGGGGACAAGCCCAGCACUCAGGACAGUCUGGGGUCCCAGAAGGAGAGGGACUCUAGGGGAGGGUCUGGGCCAGUGUCUAGGAUAGGGUCCAUGUGGAGACCCCCUGGCUGGCGGGGCCAUAAACCUGGGGGAGGGGGGGCAUUUGAAGGGGCUCAAGGGAAGAAAACGAAAGCAGGGCUUCUGGGAAAGGACGCAGACCCGACGGAAAACGUUUCAACAUCACAUUUAUUAGGAGAUCUUUUCCAGUGGAAGUGAGAAGUAUUUACCAUAGAAAUUUGCAAAACACAAGUGCAACAAAUAAACUACGAUUACAGAUAACAGC